UCUCACUAUUCCAUCUUUAUCCUCUCCUCCUUUCACUCCAAUCGGAGCCUGAAGGAGAGCUUCCUCCUGUCGCCCUCCUCAUAUAGAAGCAGUCGUGCAGAGGUCGCAGGGGAGGAGCGACAGCGGCUCGAUGACGAGGAGGAGCAGCGGUGGCGGUGGCUGGCGAUGAG
rnacentral:misc_RNA from 1 species